GUGCUCGAUUCGGCAGCACAUAUACUAAAAUUGGAAUGGUACAGAGAUUUGAAUGGCCCCUGCACAAGGAUGACAUGCAAAUUCAUGAAGCAUUCCAUAUUUUA
ensembl:snRNA U6 U6 spliceosomal RNA